AAACUCAGAACCUGAAAUUGCUGGAAAAAGGAUUCCCAAAAAGAAAACAAGUACAGAUCAUAAAUACUCAUCAGACGCGAGGCAGCAGAACCACCCAUUAAAAAAAGAAAAGCUGCAAACAAAGCAAGUGUUCCACCUGCACCAAAACCUCCAGCCAUUCCAAAACUUAACAAAAAAGGUCCUAAUGUGCAACCUCAGGUUUCACAGAGCAGAGCAGUAAACGCUCUCAGCAACUCAUGUGUCAAUCAGCAACAAUGGGACACGGAAGACCAACAACAGACCUGGUGUGAGAGUCUCCCCAGCUUCCAAGGUAAAUAAUUAGUUGUAUUAGGCUAGCUGGAAAGAUAAAUGUAGAAUAGAUCAACAUUUGAUGCAAUUAACUGGAAAGUUAAAUCAUAGAAAACUCUGUGAAUUACUCAUGUCAUU